AGCAUAUCAAUAAGCGGAGGAAAAGAAACUAACAAGGAUUCCCCUAGUAACGGCGAGUGAAGCGGGAAGAGCUCAAAUUUAAAAUCUGGCAGUGUAUUCUGUCCGAGUUGUAGUCUAGAGAAGCAUCAUCCGUGCUGGACCAUGUACAAGUCUCUUGGAACAGAGCGUCAUAGAGGGUGAGAAUCCCGUCCUUGACAUGGACUCCCAGUGCUUUGUGUUGUGCUCUCAACGAGUCGAGUUGUUUGGGAAUGCAGCUCAAAAUGGGUGGUAAAUUCAUCUAAAGCUAAAUAUUGGCGAGAGACCGAUAGCGAACAAGUACCGUGAGGGAAAGAUGAAAAGCACUUUGGAGAGAGAGUUAAACAGUACGUGAAAUUGUUGAAAUGGAAACGCUUGAAGUCAGUCGCGUUCUCUGGGAUUCAGCCUUGCUUUUGCUUGGUGCAUUUCCUAGUCUACGGGCCAGCAUGAGUUUUGACCAAUGGAAAAAGCUUGGGGAAUGUGGCACUUCGGGUGUGUUAUAGCCCCUUGUCACACACACCGGUUGGGAUUGAGGUCUUAGUGCACGCUUCGGUUGUGCUUUGAUGCUGGCGUAAUGGCUUUAAACGACCCGUCUUGAAACACGGACCAAGGAGUCUAACAUGUCUGCAAGUGUUUGGGUGCAAAACCCGAGCGCGAAAUGAAAGUGAUAGUUGGGAACCUCUUCAGAGGGGCACCGACGCCCGGACCAGACCUUCUGUGACGGAUCCGAGGUAGAGCAUAUAUGUUGGGACCCGAAAGAUGGUGAACUAUGCCUGCAUAGGGUGAAGCCAGAGGAAACUCUGGUGGAGGCUCGUAGCGAUUCUGACGUGCAAAUCGAUCGUCAAAUGUGGGUAUAGGGGCGAAAGACUAAUCGAACCAU
rnacentral:rRNA from 1 species